rnacentral:pre_miRNA from 1 species
CAAGUACUCCCUCCGUCCGGAAAUAUUUGUCAUCAAAAUGGAUGAAAAUGGAUGUAUCUAAAACUAAAAUACAUCUAGAUACAUCCAUUUCAAUGACAAGUAUUUCCGGACGGAGGGAGUAAUAG